rnacentral:lncRNA from 1 species
GAUAGUGCAUAUACUAAUUAUGAGCAAUCCAUCAUCCAUACAUCAUUAGUCCAGGACAACUAAAAGCUAGCACAAAGAUCCAUUAUGUGUGCCUACAUGCACACACAGGCAUACAAUACAUCAUUAGUCCAGGACAACUAAAAGCUAGCACAAAGAUCCAUUAUGUGUGCCUACAUGCACACACAGGCAUACAAGUCCAGUAACAAGACAGCCAAAAGCAUAACUAUCCAUCAGGUCUACAUGCACACAUGCGUACAGUUGUAGGUUCACAACUCAAAGUAGUACAUCAUAGACAAAAGUGCAAAAUAUACAAUCUGGUUUUAGGUGUAAACAUAUCCCAGCAGAAGAUCCUUUUAGCUCACCAAACACACCGCAUUUGUGGAUGCAAAGGCAUUAUGCCGAUGACCUAUAAAAAAGAAAUGGCCAAAUAGAUCAGCUCAGAAGAACACAUGUUCCAAACAUAUAUGUUGCAUCGGCUGAAAAAGAAAAUCGACUCAACCAAAUGAAAGAGACACAUGUGUGUCACCCUGUAUGCAAUCCACAAGGCAGACAGAAUGUGUGGAUGUACUCAUAAGAAGAGAUUGUGCACUGUAUAUGCAUCACUAGGAAAAUCAAUGUAACCAAUCACUAUAAAUAUAUACCAAUAGCCAUCUUGUUUGGUGCAGUAUAAUUUCUCUUGAUUGCUGUUAAGUAAAUAGAACAUUCAAAAACUGCAGCCAGGGAUCAAUUACUAGCAAUCCAGUGGCAAUGCCGGGUGUCCACCAUUCUGUUUUCUUGUACAUGUUUGUCCUAUUUAGUGUGUAGGGCCAUACCCAAGAAUAAAACAGGGGCAGUGCAAAAUCAAAAGGAGAUGGUGUUGAUGCCUUGAGGGUGGAAAGUUUGCUGCUUGCUUUCAGAAAGAGUUUGCAGGCACAUAAAUGUCUGUCAAAGUUUAAGUAGUAGCUGCAGAAUUAUCUAAGAAACAGAGUUGAUGUUUGUGAUUUAAAAUAGGACUUAAGCAUGUAUUUGAAAGUAGGCACAUUUUUUAUCUACUAGGAAAACCAUAGAAAGUACAAGUUGCUCAGGAGAAAAUAAAGAACUUUUAGGUUCCUACUUUCAAUCACAUGCUUCAUUCAGAAAAAUAAUAAGUCAUCCGUAUGUGAAAAGAGAAAUAUAUCUUUUCUUUAGGUGUAAAAUAUUCCAGAAUUCUAAGAAGAUGCAAUACCUUCAAGAUGUGGGGACUGCUAUGGGCUGUCAUGGUUGCUUCUGCAUAACUUUACGAACAACCUCAAUCUGCAAACAUAGGAUUGUCAAUAUGAAGCAAUUAGAGAAAAAAACUGCUGAAAUAGACAUGAUCAGGAAGAAGUUUUACAUAUCUACGAGGCCAUGCAAUAGAUCGCCCGAGAGCAUUCGCCAUGGUCCUCACAUUCCCAUAAGGGCG